ACGUACGCUGGCGGCACGCCUAACACAUGCAAGUCGAACGAAGUAGCAAUACUUAGUGGCAGACGGGUGAGUAACAUGUAGGUAUCUGCCCUUUGGCCUGGAAUAACACGAGGAAACUUGUGCUAAUACCGGAUAAGUCUUUACGGAGAAAGCUUUAUGCACCAUUGGAUGAGCCUGCACUUGAUUAGUUUGUUGGUGGGGUAAUGGCCUACCAAGACUGUGAUCAAUAGCUGAUUUGAGAGGAUGAUCAGCCACAUUGGGACUGAGACACGGCCCAAACUCCUACGGGAGGCAGCAGUGGGGAAUCUUGCACAAUGGAGGAAACUCUGAUGCAGCGAUGCCGCGUGAGUGAAGAAGGCCUUUGGGUUGUAAAGCUCUUUCGUCGGGGAAGAAAAUGACUGUACCCGAAUAAGAAGGUCCGGCUAACUUCGUGCCAGCAGCCGCGGUAAUACGAAGGGACCUAGCGUAGUUCGGAAUUACUGGGCUUAAAGAGUUCGUAGGUGGUUGAAAAAGUUAGUGGUGAAAUCCCAGAGCUUAACUCUGGAACUGCCAUUAAAACUUUUCAGCUAGAGUAUGAUAGAGGAAAGCAGAAUUUCUAGUGUAGAGGUGAAAUUCGUAGAUAUUAGAAAGAAUACCAAUUGCGAAGGCAGCUUUCUGGAUCAUUACUGACACUGAGGAACGAAAGCAUGGGUAGCGAAGAGGAUUAGAUACCCUCGUAGUCCAUGCCGUAAACGAUGUGUGUUAGACGUUGGAAAUUUAUUUUCAGUGUCGCAGGGAAACCGAUAAACACACCGCCUGGGGAGUACGACCGCAAGGUUAAAACUCAAAUGAAUUGACGGGGACCCGCACAAGUAGUGGAGCAUGUGGUUUAAUUCGAAGAUACGCGCAGAACCUUACCAACACUUGACAUGUUCGUCGCGACUCUAAGAGAUUAGAGUUUUCGGUUCGGCCGGACGAAACACAGGUGCUGCAUGGCUGUCGUCAGCUCGUGUCGUGAGAUGUUGGGUUAAGUCCCGCAACGAGCGCAACCCUCACUUUUAGUUGCCAUCAUUAAGUUGGGCACUCUGAAAGAACUGCCAGUGAUAAGCUGGAGGAAGGUGGGGAUGACGUCAAGUCCUCAUGGCCCUUACGUGUUGGGCUACACACGUGCUACAAUGGUAUCUACAACAGGAAGCAAGACUGCGAAGUUAAGCAAAUCCCUAAAAGAUACCUCAGUUCGGAUUGCACUCUGCAACUCGAGUGCAUGAAGCUGGAAUUACUAGUAAUCGUGGAUCAGCGUGCCACGGUGAAUGCGUUCCCGGGUCUUGCACUCACCGCC
rnacentral:rRNA from 1 species